CCUACGGGAGGCAGCAGUGGGGAAUAUUGCGCAAUGGGGGGAACCCUGACGCAGCAACGCCGCGUGAGUGAUGAAGGUCUUCGGAUCGUAAAGCCCUGUCUUCAGGGACGAUAAUGACGGUACCUGAGGAGGAAGCCACGGCUAACUACGUGCCAGCAGCCGCGGUAAUACGUAGGUGGCAAGCGUUGUCCGGAUUUAUUGGGCGUAAAGCAUGCGUAGGCGGAUAUUUAAGUGGGAUGUGAAAUCCCGGGGCUUAACCCCGGUGCUGCAUUUCAAACUGGAUAUCUAGAGUGCAGGAGAGGAAAGCGGAAUGCCUAGUGUAGCGGUGAAAUGCGUAGAUAUUAGGAAGAACACCAGUGGCGAAGGCGGCUUUCUGGCCUGUAACUGACGCUGAGGCAUGAAAGCGUGGGUAGCAAACAGGAUUAGAUACCCGGGUAGUC
rnacentral:rRNA from 1 species